AUGCUUAACUCAGGGUGGACAGAGUUCAGAUGGAUUUGCUUCAGAGAAGUAUUUUGUACGGCAACUGAAUUAUGGAUAUUGGCAGUCAAGUGAGGCUACAGUAUACUUCAGGAACUGCUAUUUUUUUCUACUGUACUGAAAAUAUCUCUUGGCCUUUAAAACUCAAUGGUAAAAUCUAGCUUUGGAUAUAAAUUUGAUGUGUGUAUAUAUUUUCACAAUGAGCCUUUAAGACAUAGAAUUCAAUUUCUUUUAAGAGCCAAAAAUAAUAAUUUUAAGCAAAUGAAAUAGUACUGCUCCUGACUUUUUGUUUAGCAAAAUUUUAUUGUUGUAAGUUGAUCAAACUGGUUAUUCUUGGAAAUGGUUUUGUAUGAAAGAGCAGUAAUCUGAUAGUUAAUCUGUAUAUUCAUGUUAGCUGCUCUGUAUUGAUUGAAGUGAUUGAUGCAUCUUUGAGAAAUUCAUGUAUGAAUGGUUCACAUAAUGGAUCCUAUCAAAGAGUCCACAGGAAAGAGACCUUAUCGUGACACAAGGUAAUGUCUCUGAAGACACGCUUCAAGUACAUCUCAGAUUCAUGUAUCUUUUCAUAUGGUGGCUUGCCAUACUACAACACGCAUGGUUUCAGAGAAGCUUUAUGACAAUACUGUAUGUAUUUUGUUGAAGAUGGGUGUUGUAGUGCAAAGCAUUAUUUUAUUGACCUAUGCUAUCACGUGGACUACAGUGAAGUUAAAUAACCAAAUUUGUGCUGCUCUUUAAUCUCCCCUAUAAUAUACUUAGAUUUAAAAAAAAAUGCAAGGUAGCUUAGAAGAGAAUGUACCUCAGGUCUUUUAGUUUACAGUACAAAUGUCUCCAUUGGUUCUCUUGUAGAUCUGUGGGUAAGUUCACCUAUAUACAGAGGGCCAAGACAAAGCCUGUGUACCACUCAAGCCCUCUAAAUAAUGCAACUAUUCUGACAAUGCUAUGAUGUCCUGAAAUAGGGCUUGAAUUAGAUGAAGGUGGUGCCAUCCUUUCUGUAGGGUGACCCUGUGUAUGUAACUUUCUUUCACUUGGAAUUUCUCACAUGAAAUGGUUACAGAAUUGGCUUGAAAAGAUCUUGCUUUUAUUUUGUGUCAAUGUUCAUGUUGUUAAACACUUUGUUUUGUGUUUAGUGUCUUUAUACUAUAACACAAUAAAUUCUUGUUUUAAAAUAGAUUACUACCCUUGAA
rnacentral:lncRNA from 1 species